rnacentral:rRNA from 1 species
CGCCGCGGUUAUACGGGAGGCCCGAACUGAUAGUCCCCGGCGUAAAGCGUGGUUAAGACAAACUAAAAACACUAAAGCCGAACCACCCCAACGCUGUUAUACGUUUCCGAGGGAGAGAAGUUCAUUCACGAAGGUAGCUUUAUAUAGCCUGAACCCACGAAAGCUAGGAAA